rnacentral:lncRNA from 1 species
UGGUAAUAUAUGAUUUUAAAAAAGGAUAAAAUAAAAAUUCCGAUACAAAAAUAAUAUAUAGAAAGGAUAAAAUAUCGGAACCGAUGAAAAAAGUCAAAAGGUGUCGACAAAAAAAAAAAGUCAAAAGGUUAACGACAAGAUUUAUAAAAAAAAAUUUCAAAAGGCAAAAAUGAAAAAUGAUUUUUUUUAUUUACUGACAAAACGAACCUUCCUUCAGAACUAGAGUCUCCUUCCUACUCUCUUCAAAACGAACUCGCCGUAGUAUUCGAACUACUCGCCGUCGUUUUAUCAGUCUCCGGCGAUAACGGCGGAGGAACACCAUGCUUCAACAAUCCAACAUCAUCACCACCGUUCACAUCAAUCUCCACAACCACAUCCUUCGAAUCACUUAUCCCAUCCUUCUGAAUCACUCUCAAAACCUCAACGAUCUCAUCCAUCGAUGGCCGUACGUCUCUCUCCUGUUGCAAACAUCGGAAUGCUAAUUCAGCAACCGACGACAUCAUCUUCUUCACCGAAGGAUCUCUCGCGAAUCCGAGUGAUAGAUCCGCGAGCUCAUGUACGGCGUCGUUUUGGAUUUUCGAAAUCGCCAUGUUGGCGAGGUUAAUAUCGUGGCGGUGUCUGGUGAUAUCAACAGCUUCUUUCGAUGAGAUUAGUUCGGAGAGUACGACUCCGAAGCUGUAAACGUCACUCUUCUCGUUUAAUCGGUAACAUUGGUAAUACUCAGGAUCUACAUAUCCUGGAGUACCUUGUGGAGCAGUGGAGAUGUGAGUUUGAUCCAUCGGAAACAACCGUGAGAGUCCGAAAUCAGCUACUUUGACUUGUAUGUGUUACCUGAGGCGUGGAGAUAGGACAAGGCGCUAGCGGUUUCGAUGGCUAUUUGGAGUCGAGCAGGCCAACAAAUAGGGCGAGAUUGUGCUUGGUUUCCAUGGAGAUGUUCAGCGAGUGUGCCAUUGGAGAUGUAUUCGUAUACUAGGAGUAACUCUCUGCUAUGUCUUGUUGUGCAUCCGUAUAGAAUCACUAGGUUCGGGUGUUUUAGGGAUUUCAAGAUAUCGAUUUCGUUCUUGAAUUGUUCCACGCGUUUUAGUGAUCUUUCGAAGAGUCGUUUCACAGCUACUGCUCGUCCGUCUUUUAGUGUACCGUAGUAGACAGUACCGAAGCCUCCAUCUCCGAGUUCUUUGGAGAAAUUUUCAGUGGCUUCCUCGAGUUCUUCGUAGCUGAAGACUUGAAUUCCAGAGUAGACGCUUCCGUUUCCAAGGUUAGAUAUUGAAGGUACAAGAGAGUGAUUGCUGCCAGAGAUUGUUGUGGAGGUUGGAGUGUUUGACAUUGUAUAAUUGCUUGAGUAAGGUGUUGUUGUUGAUAGGCCUUUGUUUGUGUAUUGUGUUGCUAGUUUCUUCCUUCUCCGGAUGAAGAUACAGAGUAAACAUCCGCCGAUAAGUGUGGCACCCAAGAAUCCAGAAGCGAAUCCGAUGCCUAGAGAUAAACGGAAAGACAAGAUGUUCGUAUUAUGAUGCGGUUACGUAGGUAUGUUCUACUGAAAUUAGUUUCCUUGAAAGGAAAAAGGAUGGACACAUACCUAUUUUCCCUUUUUUGGAGAGACCUGCAUGAGCUACCAUGAGAAUAAUAUCAGUUAAAAUUUAAGACAGAAUUUUAGAAUGGUGCAUAAAACAUAGUUUGAAAGUCAAGAGAGUUUCUGAGGAAGAUAAGAGAUCUGGUUCUUAUGGAAGGACAUUAGCCAAUUAGAUUCAGAGACGAAUUUAGGAUCAGAUUAACUUAGGUCAGCUAAAGUAUUCAGUAAAGCAGAUAAAGAUGAAUCAUUACUCUUCUUUACUAUUUCAGAAUAGCAAGUACUCUCGUGAGGCUCAUCCGCACAAUAGCAAACAAAUGCUUUCAAUCUCUGAUCAAAGCCACAAGCGCCCCCUGAUAUUGCGCAUUGGGAACAUUCAUUGUUGAAGCCAAGUUCGAAACCCUCAUCAAUAGCCUUCUUCAUAGCCUCCAGACUCUGAUUUUUCUCUACUGUCUUCAAGGCUGACCGAGAGACUGGAAUAUCGACCCCUUCGCACGAUGCACUCAAUGCAGCUAAGGUAGCUCUAUCCCCAGAAUGUGAAGAGGACGAGACAAAGUAACUUUUCCCACCGAUAUAAUCCUCACAGUUAAGCUGUUUAAUGUAAUCAUUGGGAUGUACAUCUACCGUUGAUUGGCAGUCGUGAUAAAAAGUUGACAGCUUGGUGUCGGGAGAAAAUGGAAGGACAUCAUGGUUGAUAGAUGCAUUCGCAGGAUGCUGAGGACAAAGAUUGUUGCGAUAAUCCAUUCUGGCUAGUCUUAUGAUUUCAAACUCAUAGUUCAUCUCAAGGAUUUGGAACUUAACUGUGGAUACAGUAAGCUCUGCAAAAUCUCCGCUGCAGUUGACCUCGAAAUCUGGGUGACCGCACUCUUUUCUCUCAGAUAUCCAAAAGGGAUAAUAGAGUUCUGACUGGUUUCCGCAUUUAAACCUAGGACUGCAGUGUUUGUGUUGCUCAUCAACAACUGAGAAAACACAAGAGGGGAUCACAAAGAGCAUCCAUAUGAUUGUAUUGGACCAAGAUUUUGUCAGAGACAGAGAAAGAUUGAUCAUGGUGAUCUCCUCUGUUUGUUUUUUUUUUUUUUCUUGGAGAUGAACAAGAAAAUGAAGACAAAGAAUAAGAGGAUGACCUAAACAAGUGCCGGCACAAGAACUUUACUUGGAAAAGCCAGGCAAAGUAGAAAAGGAGAUAAAACUAGACUAUAGAAGAAAAUCUCCAAAGGGGUUAAAAAUCGACUAUGAAGAAAGACUUGACCGUUGUUGGCCCUUCUUUUACUCUCAACUUUCUUAUUCAGUUUCAGAUAAAUGUGAAGGCAUCAAAUGGUAUGUGGACAGAAUGAAGACUGGAACAAGAAAAAGAUUCUUUAGUAUUUACCUCGGAAACUGAACGAUGUUGAUAAAGAUGACAGAAUCUGGUAAGGAAGACUUCCAUACCCUGAAAAUGACUUAUUUGAAUUGAAAUUGUGUAUGUCUAGUUGCUGGAAACAGAUAAAGACUUUUUAGACCACUCAAGUUUCUACCUUCUCUCUUGAGCUCACUAGGGACUAAGGUAUAUCUUAACACUGCUAAAACUGACCGAGAGAUACUGGAAAAAAAGAAAACUGUGUGACUUGGUUAGAGACAUUGCAGAAAAUGGUUUUGUUUUGUAUAAUUUAGAACACCAAAGUAUGAGCUGCGGUUCUUGGUGAUUAGCAUGUUCUAUAUGCUUGGGGCUUACCAAUUUUUGCAACCUAGGGGAUAAUAGUUGUGGUAUGUGUCAUAGCAGAACUUAUAGAGGAUGUGGAUCGACAUGUCUAUUUUUGCCUGGUUGCACUGUGGUAAUACUGCCCAAAUUUGGCAAGUGGGAAAUGUAUAUGUUAUGCUUAUGAAAUUUGCUGAUAGUUCAGAAACAUACCACUAGAUCCAGAUGGCAUCAUUGGAGUGCAAUUGACUUCUGAUGACGAGUUUGUCUUGCAGCAAACCGGAGUUGCAACAUGGUAGGCGCAGAUUCCACCAUUGGUUUUACAUUCUUGACACGGUCUCUCAUCGAUGCUAAGUUUCACCUCAAAUCCUUUUUUAAGAACACUUUCCAAAUUGGUUACAUUCAAAGCUCCUUCCUCUGGAGCAUAACCUAUGGGAACAGUGAUGUUGAAAAUCCCACCACAGUGAUUGUGAUACAAAUCAUCCUGAUGUAUUGAGCCAACACCCUUAUUUGGACAUAUGAAUUUCGCAGGAUAGUGAAGACUAGGGUUGCAGAGGUAGUAAGCGGAGAGGGUCUUGUAGUCUGGCAAAAGCUCAAAAAGUUCAGGAGUCAACGUUGCUCCGCUGAAUGAAGCCGAGCAGAAUGGACCUGAAAAGUCUUGCCUUACUAAUUUAAGAGUACUAGUAGUGGUAUUUACUUCGAGAACACGGUACAUCAGACUUGAGAUGAUUAGAGAAGUCGAAUUUGUUUGUUUUUGGCAGUGAAGUCCUAAAGAUGGAUGACCACAAGGUUGGGGCCGAGCCACUCCCCAGAAAGGGAAACCGGCUGUGAGAUCCCCACAACGAAACAGAGUGUCACAUGGUUCUCGUUGACUUUGAGCACAAGGAAGAAAGUGAAUAUAGGAUAAGAAGAAGAGAAGGACCAGAAAAGAAUUAGGUUUUGAGAAUCUGAAGAGUACUGGAGAGAACAUGAUUGAUAUCUGGAAAGUAGUUUCUUUUUUGGUUUGUGUUUAAAGUAGAGUAGAUGAUAAAUGAUUAAACAAAAAAAAACCAAGUGGAGACAGAAAAGAGCUAGUGGAAUGGUCGAACCACGACUAAGUCAAUAUUGAGAAGGACAGAUACUCAUAGACUUGGAGAACUAAAUGACACGUCUUUGGUUAGUUGACUUUGGAAGACUUUUCUCGUUUUAUUUGUAAGUCAUUCACUGUGGAAAAUCUUGUUAACGUAUAAGAAAAACUAUUUCAGAGUUCAGAAAAAUCUUUCUUAGGAAGAAAAGUGAUAAAAUAGGGUUCGUAAUUGUAAU